rnacentral:lncRNA from 1 species
GCUUCUGCCCUGUAUUGAAAGGGAUUAUUCAGUUUACUCUUUGGAUGCCUCUAGGAUCUGAAGGUACAGGAAGCUUUGCUGAAUAAGUUUUCAUUGUCGAGAUGGUCUUCACAGCACUCAAAGUCAACAUCCCUGGGUUCAUCCACACCUGUGUUUUCUAUGAGUUCUCCAAUAUCAAGGAGAUUUAACAGUUUGUUUGGUAAAACAGGAACAUAUAAUGUUUCCACCCCAGAAGCAACCAGCUCAUCCCUGGAAAACUCAUCCAGUGCUUAUUCGU